rnacentral:rRNA from 1 species
GAUGAACGCUGGCGGCGUGCCUAAUACAUGCAAGUCGAGCGAACGGACGAGAAGCUUGCUUCUCUGAUGUUAGCGGCGGACGGGUGAGUAACACGUGGAUAACCUACCUAUAAGACUGGGAUAACUUCGGGAAACCGGAGCUAAUACCGGAUAAUAUUUUGAACCGCAUGGUUCAAAAGUGAAAGACGGUCUUGCUGUCACUUAUAGAUGGAUCCGCGCUGCAUUAGCUAGUUGGUAAGGUAACGGCUUACCAAGGCAACGAUGCAUAGCCGACCUGAGAGGGUGAUCGGCCACACUGGAACUGAGACACGGUCCAGACUCCUACGGGAGGCAGCAGUAGGGAAUCUUCCGCAAUGGGCGAAAGCCUGACGGAGCAACGCCGCGUGAGUGAUGAAGGUCUUCGGAUCGUAAAACUCUGUUAUUAGGGAAGAACAUAUGUGUAAGUAACUGUGCACAUCCUGUCGGUACCUAAUCAGAAAGCCACGGCUAACUACGUG